rnacentral:rRNA from 1 species
GAUGAACGCUGGCGGCGUGCCUAAUACAUGCAAGUCGAGCGAACGGACGAGAAGCUUGCUUCUCUGAUGUUAGCGGCGGACGGGUGAGUAACACGUGGAUAACCUACCUAUAAGACUGGGAUAACUUCGGGAAACCGUAGCUAAUACCGGAUAAUAUUUUGAACCGCAUGGUUCAAAAGUGAAAGACGGUCUUGCUGUCACUUAUAGAUGGAUCCGCGCUGCAUUAGCUAGUUGGUAAGGUAACGGCUUACCAAGGCAACGAUGCAUAGCCGACCUGAGAGGGUGAUCGGCCACACGGGAACUGAGACAGGGUCCAGACUCCUACGGGAGGCAGCAGUAGGGAAUCUUACGCAAUGGGCGAAAGCCUGACGGAGCAACGACGCGUGAGUGAUGAAGGUCUUCGGAUCGUAAAACUCUGUUAUUAGGGAAGAACAUAUGUGUAAGUAACUGUGCACAUCUUGACGGUACCUAAUCAGAAAGCCACGGCUAACUACGUG